AGAGUUUGAUCCUGGCUCAGGAUGAACGCUAGCUACAGGCUUAACACAUGCAAGUCGAGGGGAAACGACAUCGAAAGCUUGCUUUUGAUGGGCGUCGACCGGCGCACGGGUGAGUAACGCGUAUCCAACCUGCCCACCACUUGGGGAUAACCUUGCGAAAGUAAGACUAAUACCCAAUGACGUCUCUAGAAGACAUCUGAAGGAGAUUAAAGAUUUAUCGGUGAUGGAUGGGGAUGCGUCUGAUUAGCUUGGUUGGCGGGGUAACGGCCACCAAGGCGACGAUCAGUAGGGUUCUGAGAGGAAGGUCCCCANAUUGGAACUGAGACACGGUCCAAACUCCUACGAGACGGCA
rnacentral:rRNA from 1 species